rnacentral:rRNA from 1 species
GUGCCAGCCGCCGCGGUAAUACGUAGGGUGCGAGCGUUAAUCGGAAUUACUGGGCGUAAAGCGUGCGUAGGCGGUCCCGCAAGUCCGCUGUGAAAGCCCUGGGCUUAACCUAGGAACUGCAGUGGAAACUAUGGGACUUGAAUCUGGCAGAGGGGGGUGGAAUGCCACGUGUAGCAGUGAAAUGCGUAGAGAUGUGGCGGAACACCGAUGGCGAAGGCAGCCCCCUGGGCUAAGAUUGACGCUCAGGCACGAAAGCGUGGGGAGCAAACAGGAUUAGAUACCCUUGUAGUCC